AGAAAAUGACUAUUAAGAAUUGUCCACUUAAAUAUAGACUAAAACACAGGAAUAGUUAUAAAAUUGAUGUUUUUUAGCACUUCUGGAGGAAAUUAAUAACCCCUGAAUGAGCUUGACUUCUCUAGAGUAAAUGAUGUUAAACAAACUGGUUUUGAUGUUUUCUAGUCUAGAGUAAGGGGGCUAUUAUAGAUAAUAAAUGGUAAUUUCACCAAGGCUUAUGAUAAUCACUUGGUGUAAAGAUGAGAAAACAGUAUUUCUGAACUGUUGGACUCAAUGUCUCACAUAUUGAGGGCGCAGUCCCUAGCCCACAGGGCUAUUGGGAGAUGGUGGACCUAGUGGAAAGAAGUUAGGUCAUUGGAGGCAUCCCUCAGAUGGGCUAUCUAUGUGUAUAUUAUUGCAUGUGUGUAUGUUUAAAUAACUUCAGAGAUACUAUCCAUCCAACUAACUCACCUUAAGUAUUUGAUUGCUCAGCUGCCAGGCUAGUCUCACCUAGCAAAAUAGUUGUGAAGAAAAUGGACAGCGCUUUCAUAAAACUUAUGUUUCAAUGAUGCAGUGCUUAAUGGAGUAGAGCUCUGAAUUAAAAAUAGAACAGGUUGAUGAGGUUGUAGAGUUAAGAUUGAGGUUGUUAAUGUGUACAAGAUGAUCAAAGGAGGUCUCAUAAAACUGACCCUUGAGCAUAUUGUGUGCUCUGUUUAACAGAAGGAUUAACCAGUGAUGAGUGAAAUAGAGCAAUAGCAACUAUUAUCA
rnacentral:lncRNA from 1 species